GGGCAGUGGAGUAUGACAUGGAUAUCAAGAACCAUAGAAAUCUUUAAAAGAAGAAUUGACAACCAUUAUCUAGGGUUACUGUACUCCUGCCCUUAAGGAGUUCCAUCGAGUCAGGGAGAGUGACCAGUAGGACUAAAAUUCAUCAGGCGCCCUGGAUCCCUCACUAGCGCCCCCGCCCCUGGGAGGAGCAGGAGACAGCCUCGGUUGCGCAGGACACCCCUC